UACGUAGGGUGCGAGCGUUGUCCGGAAUUAUUGGGCGUAAAGAGCUUGUAGGCGGUUUGUCGCGUCUGCUGUGAAAAUCCGGGGCUCAACCCCGGACUUGCAGUGGGUACGGGCAGACUAGAGUGUGGUAGGGGAGACUGGAAUUCCUGGUGUAGCGGUGAAAUGCGCAGAUAUCAGGAGGAACACCGAUGGCGAAGGCAGGUCUGCUGGGCCACUACUGACGCUGAGAAGCGGAAAGCAUGGGGAGCGAACAGG
rnacentral:rRNA from 1 species